rnacentral:rRNA from 1 species
GAGUUUGAUCCUGGCUCAGAACGAACGCUGGCGGCAGGCCUAACACAUGCAAGUCGAGCGCGCCUUUCGGGGUGAGCGGCGGACGGGUUAGUAACGCGUGGGAAUAUACCCUUUGGUACGGAAUAGCCUCUGGAAACGGAGAGUAAUACCGUAUGUGCCCUUCGGGGGAAAGAUUUAUCGCCAAAGGAUUAGCCCGCGUUAGAUUAGGUAGUUGGUGGGGUAAUGGCCUACCAAGCCUACGAUCUAUAGCUGGUUUUAGAGGAUGAUCAGCAACACUGGGACUGAGACACGGCCCAGACUCCUACGGGAGGCAGCAGUGGGGAAUCUUGGACAAUGGGGGCAACCCUGAUCCAGCCAUGCCGCGUGAGUGAUGAAGGCCUUAGGGUCGUAAAGCUCUUUCGCCUGUGAAGAUAAUGACGGUAGCAGGUAAAGAAACCCCGGCUAACUCCGUGCCAGCAGCCGCGGUAAUACGGAGGGGGUUAGCGUUGUUCGGAAUUACUGGGCGUAAAGCGCACGUAGGCGGACUGGAAAGUUGGGGGUGAAAUCCCGGGGCUCAACCCCGGAACUGCCUCCAAAACUAUCAGUCUAGAGUUCGAGAGAGGUGAGUGGAAUUCCGAGUGUAGAGGUGAAAUUCGUAGAUAUUCGGAGGAACACCAGUGGCGAAGGCGGCUCACUGGCUCGAUACUGACGCUGAGGUGCGAAAGUGUGGGGAGCAAACAGGAUUAGAUACCCUGGUAGUC